GAGAGGUCUAUUGAUGUGAUAAGUGAAUAUUCAGCCAAGAGUAUGGUCGCAUAAAAUGGUAAUGUUAUUUUUUGUGAUAACAUGAAUGUUGUGUAUGUAUGUUGUCAGGGAGAAAAAGGUUGUGAAAGUGAAGGAUGAUAAAAUCAAGCAAUUAGAGGAACAUGUUCUAUAAUAUAAUCUAUUAGGUUCAUAUGGGGCGCAAUUGAAGCAAAGAGAGGAAAUCUAUGUCAUGACUCAUGAUUGUCCAAUACAUAAUUUGGGGCAAAGUGAAAUAUAUACAAAUAUAUAAUGGUAUAUUGAGAUGAUUUCUUUGGAGCAAUUUUUGACAACAUUUGUAGUUGAGGCCUUUAGAAUGGAAGAAUGUAUUUCACUAAUUUUUGUAUACAUUUCUUGUUUUGUAUUUAGUGAGAAAGGAAUC